AGUGAACGCUGGCGGUAGGCCUAACACAUGCAAGUCGAACGGCAGCACAGUAAGAGCUCGCUCUUACGGGUGGCGAGUGGCGGACGGGUGAGGAAUACAUCGGAAUCUACUUUUUCGUGGGGGAUAACGUAGGGAAACUUACGCUAAUACCGCAUACGGCCUACGGGUGAAAGCAGGGGAUCUUCGGACCUUGCGCGAUUGAAUGAGCCGAUGUCGGAUUAGCUAGUUGGCGGGGUAAAGGCCCACCAAGGCGACGAUCCGUAGCUGGUCUGAGAGGAUGAUCAGCCACACUGGAACUGAGACACGGUCCAGACUCCUACGGGAGGCAGCAGUGGGGAAUAUUGGACAAUGGGCGCAAGCCUGAUCCAGCCAUACCGCGUGGGUGAAGAAGGCCUUCGGGUUGUAAAGCCCUUUUGUUGGGAAAGAAAAGCAGCAGGUUAAUACCCCGCUGUUCUGACGGUACCCAAAGAAUAAGCACCGGCUAACUUCGUG
rnacentral:rRNA from 1 species